GCCUUCGUGGUGCAACGGUAGCACACUCGGCGCGUAUUCGAUAGGUCUAGGUUCGAGUCCCGGCGAAGGCA
rnacentral:tRNA from 1 species